GUCAUUUAUCAAAGUUGCGCAUAUUGGCAGAAGAUUUUCUUUAUGGAUUGGAAAAAGGACUGGAGGAAGUAGAAAGGAAGGGUAUAUACCCUCACUACAG